AGCGAGGGGAGAGGGAAAGACAGAGGGAGAGAGGAAGGGAGAGAGAUAGAGAGAGAGAGAGAGAGAGGGUAAAGAGACUGGGGCAGAUAAAAAAAGGGAUAGAUGGGAAAACAGCAGACCAGGGCUGUAUUUAUUGGGGGUGUGAGUGGCGCGCUGUAGGCUGUGGGAUGGUAGGCAGAGUGUAAGGUGUUGCUGUUAGGUGUGGUGGGGUUUCCAGAAAUGGAAGAGCAUGCAUAGAGAAAAAAAAAAAAAAGAGGGAGAGAUGGAAGGAUUGGUCAUGCGCAAGGUCUGAGGAGCAGAGCGAAUUGUGUCUGAAAGGGGAUGAUACCCAUCGGAAUGCUAAUGGUGCCGAAUAUUUCAGAGACCGCAGGCCGUUGGAGGCAGCUUAGAAAUCUCUUACAUCUGGAAGAGCCAUAAUUCACGGGAUUUGGCCCAACAGCCGUGACAGGCAUUGGGGCGGCCAGCAGCAACUGUCUCCCGUGUUAGCGGCGAGUGUGUGAGAGGGAGACGGCGAGUGAGAGACAAAGAGUGACAAAUACACAGCGUGCGUCCACUUGGACCUGCAUGUGUGCGCAGUAACCGGGUAUGUUACGAAAGUACGGCACCGCGCGUUAAGCUACUUCCUGCAAGACCGGUAGUCCACGACACUUAUUACAUUAUUUCACAGCUGUUGUUACUUUGUGGAUCAACACAUAGCGUGUCGCAUUACUAUAUUUGAUGUGAUGUCAGUCAGCAUCAUCGACACACACGUAACAAUGCAUCAAUCAUUUUGAUCCAAUAACAAAAAUCUAACAAUAGUGUGUAACAACAUUAGACUUGAAAAGGGGACCAUUUGGCAUCGUUUGUAUUUUUUAUACCUUUGUUUUAUUUUUCCUUAUUCAACAUACUGCAUAUUUUACUUGAGCAAAAGUUCUAGACAUUUCUUCUACCAGAUGUCGUACAAACUCUCACUAAAUUGUGCAAUCCGUGAGAAGAAAAAAGAAAAGGUUUUUCUGAGACGUGUAAUAAAAAAAAAAAGAAAUCCACAAUGUUGUCCAUGUAUCCGGCAAUGUGCACAAACGAUUAUACACUUUCGCACACACGUAUGCACACACACACACUCAUCCGAAAGACAUGCGGCAGAAACAAAGCAGCGGCGCCCGUGUGUUUCAUGGCGUGCCAGAGGCUGCCUGCGUCGGCCCUAAAUAUUACACACAGACAGUAGCUAUCACUUCCAAGCCUGAAAUCCCACAUUCCACAUUCCUGAUUCCAGCGGCUCGCCUGCUAAGCUGGGCACCACAUGAAGAGCCAUUGUUAGAGAGAGACGGGUCAUGUGUCUCUCUCGCUCUGUGUCUGUCUGUCUGUCUGUCUGUC
ensembl:lncRNA